UUCUGUGGCCACACCACCCUGAACGCACCCAGUCUUGUCUGAUCUCGGAAGCUAAGCAAGGUCACAGCUGGUUGGUACUUGAAUGGGAGACUGCCCGGGGUUACUGGGUGCUACAGGCU
rnacentral:rRNA from 1 species